rnacentral:rRNA from 1 species
AUGCGAGUUGAUGGGAUACCUAAAGUUCCCAUGGCAAACUGCUCAGUAACACAUGAUCAACUUACCCUAUAGAGAAAAAUAACCUCGGGAAACUGAGGAUAAUGUUUCAUAGUUGAAUUGGCUUGGAAAAGUUUUUCGACGAAAGGGGUAAAAAAAAUGGUUUUUAUCUGCUAUAGGAUAGGAUCGUGUUCGAUUAUGGUUGUUGGUGAGGUAAUGGCUCACCAAGCCGAUAAUCGAUAGGGGCCGUGAGAGCGGGAGCCCCGAGAUGGGUACUGAGACAACGACCCAGGCCUUACGAGGCGCAGCAGGCGCGAAACCUCCGCAAUACACGAAAGUGUGACGGGGUUACCCAAAGUGUUCAUUAGAACUGUGGUAGGUGAGUAAUGUUCCCUACUAGAAAGGAGAGGGCAAGGCUGGUGCCAGCCGCCGCGGUAAAACCAGCUCUUCAAGUGGUCGGGAUAAUUAUUGGGCUUAAAGUGUCCGUAGCCGGUUUAGUAAGUUCCUGGUAAAAUCGGGUAGCUUAACUAUCUAUAUGCUAGGAAUACUACUAUACUAGAGGGCGGGAGAGGUCUGAGGUACUACAGGGGUAGGGGUGAAAUCUUAUAAUCCUUGUUGGACCACCAGUGGCGAAGGCGUCAGACUGGAACGCGCCUGACGGUGAGGGACGAAAGCCAGGGGAGCGAACCGGAUUAGAUACCCGGGUAGUCCUGGCCGUAAACGAUGCAUACUAGGUGAUGGCACGGCCAUGAGCCGUGUCAGUGCCGUAGGGAAACCGUUAAGUGUGCCGCCUGGGAAGUACGGUCGCAAGGCUAAAACUUAAAGGAAUUGGCGGGGGAGCACCACAAGGGGUGAAGCCUGCGGUUCAAUUGGAUUCAACGCCGGAA